CGUAACUAUAACGGUCCUAAGGUAGCGAAAUUCCUUGUCGGGUAAGUUCCGACCUGCACGAAUGGCGUAAUGAUGGCCAGGCUGUCUCCACCCGAGACUCAGUGAAAUUGAACUCGCUGUGAAGAUGCAGUGUACCCGCGGCAAGACGGAAAGACCCCGUGAACCUUUACUAUAGCUUGACACUGAACAUUGAGCCUUGAUGUGUAGGAUAGGUGGGAGGCUUUGAAGUGUGGACGCCAGUCUGCAUGGAGCCGGCCUUGAAAUACCACCCUUUAAUGUUUGAUGUUCUAACGUGGACCCGUGAUCCGGGUUGCGGACAGUGUCUGGUGGGUAGUUUGACUGGGGCGGUCUCCUCCUAAAGAGUAACGGAGGAGCACGAAGGUUGGCUAAUCCUGGUCGGACAUCAGGAGGUUAGUGCAAUGGCAUAAGCCAGCUUGACUGCGAGCGUGACGGCGCGAGCAGGUGCGAAAGCAGGUCAUAGUGAUCCGGUGGUUCUGAAUGGAAGGGCCAUCGCUCAACGGAUAAAAGGUACUCCGGGGAUAACAGGCUGAUACCGCCCAAGAGUUCAUAUCGACGGCGGUGUUUGGCACCUCGAUGUCGGCUCAUCACAUCCUGGGGCUGAAGUAGGUCCCAAGGGUAUGGCUGUUCGCCAUUUAAAGUGGUACGCGAGCUGGGUUUAGAACGUCGUGAGACAGUUCGGUCCCUAUCUGCCGUGGGCGCUGGAGAACUGAGGGGGGCUGCUCCUAGUACGAGAGGACCGGAGUGGACGCAUCACUGGUGUUCGGGUUGUCAUGCCAAUGGCACUGCCCGGUAGCUAAAUGCGGAAGAGAUAAGUGCUGAAAGCAUCUAAGCACGAAACUUGCCCCGA
rnacentral:rRNA from 1 species